rnacentral:misc_RNA from 1 species
AAAGUCGUAACAAGGUUUCCGUAGGUGAACCUGCGGAAGGAUCAUUCACAAUAAGUGUUUUAUGGCACUUUUUUCAAUCCAUAUCCACCUUGUGUGCAAUGUUGUCUUGUAGCGUGAUGCUUGUCAUUGCGCUACAGGAUGUAAACAUCAACUCUUAUCUUUAACAACUUUGUCUAAAACCUGUAUGAAUACUUAAUUCAAAUACAA